GCAGCAUGCGUUUCCUCCAGGACGGGUCGAACCAGCUGCCCAGGCGCAUGUCGUUGCUGAUGAAGAUGGAGUGCACCUCGAUGCGGCUGUCCCGCUUCUGCAGCAGAGGUGGCGUCCCUGCAAGCACGCUGAGAGCGCAGACAUGGCAUUCUUCACCGAUAUAAUCUCAGAAGCUAGCGCUGUUCCUGGUGCCUGGGGGAAUAUCUGGGUCAGCCGACUGCUCACCUGACUCCUCAAACUGCCGGCUGUGCGUCGCCCAGGAGUCCUGGAUCUGCAGCAGGCUGUCCUCCAUGGCCUGGAUGUCGGCGUCGGGACAGUUGCACUGCGGGAAGGUGGGGCUGCACUCGCACCAGCAGUCAUUCUCCCUGCAGACGAGCUCACCCUCGGAGCUGCACGUGAUGUAGCUGAGCGCCGCGGCCACGAAGCGCUCCCGCAGCUCCAGGCACCUCUGCUCCGCAGCAAGCACACGCUCCCCAGUGUUCCAUCCUUUUCUGCGAGUAUCUGGUUCAAGCCUGGGUCCUCCGCACCCUAAGGGCUCCACAGAGGUAAACUGGCCACCACACCGUCCUGCACUGGCUUUUCUAUCCACCCCUCCUGAGUUGGUCACGCCCAGCAUCAGGUCCAGGCAGGGAGAGAGCUACGUGCCUUAUGCAGAAGCAGGGCGACUUCCAAGGGGGCCUGCUCCGCCUUUAUCCCACCACUGUCCCUACCGAGCGACCACUGAUCCAUCUGCUUCCCCCACCGCCACCAUCUUGUUCAGCAACAGGUACAGGGUGAGCUGACUAACCAGAAGAAGUACCAACCACGGUGCCAAAGCCGGGUCCUGACGGCCUCCCGAGUUUAUUAGCUAACUCUGCGUGCUCUACCAUCAGAGGACAACCUGAACCGGCGAGCAACCAGUACCUCCCGUAACACCAGCGUGGUCCCAGCCACCACUGUCUCACCUUGACCACGGCAAGAGUUCCUGCAUUGGUCUCCGGGACCCCUUGUUCUCCUGUCUUCCCGAAUCAGUAAAUCCCUCAACACCUGGCCCCGUAACCACUGCAGCCUCAGCUCCCCCCUCACCCCUCGUUUGAUUCCACUCCAGCUACGCUCGAGGUGUUCCUGGAUCAGACCAAACACGCUCCCACCGCAGGGCAACGGUACUUGCCUCCCCUCUGUCUACAACGCGCUAGCUCAAGAUACCCACGGGGUUCACCCCCUCCUUUCAUUCGGAUCUCUGUCUGGUCUCCCCUCAAGUACUAUGUCCCCAUCACCCCCUAUCCUCUUCCCCGACUUCAUUUCUUUAUACCAUUAAUCCCACCUGACAUUACAUAUGUAUUUCAUUGUGUCUCCCCCACUAGAAUUUUAGCUUCCCAGGGGAAGGAACUUUAUAUGUUUUGUUCACACUUGGAUUCUCACUACCCAGAACAGUACUUGACUCAUGCUGGGCAUUCAGUAAAUAUUUACUGAAUGACUAAAUGAACAAAACUUCCUUGUGACUCUUGGAUGGGAUAAAAGCAGGAUAUGAGACAAGGUGGACCUUAGCAUCCAAACUUCAGAUUUUCCUCCUAACUUUAGGAGGAGAAUAUCCAGCAUUCUCAAGCACCUUUACUAGUAUUCUCCUCCCUAAAAAAAUGACCUUUCCUAGAAAUGUAGAUAUAAGGAGAGAAGAUGGGAUGGAGGUUAUAGUUAAUACAGUUAAAGUAACUGUUGAUCUUUCCCAAACAUACAUGGACUCAUGUCACUCCUCUGCUUGUCUUCCAUGGCACUUUGACUUAUAUUAAAAUUCCUUAUCAUAACCAUGUAAUCUGGCUCCAGCCUACUUCUGAACUGCAUCAUGUACCAGCAUCUCACCUCCCCGCAGUCACAGCAGCCUUCUCUGGGUUCUACCAAGGCACCGCACUGGUUCCUGCCUCAGGGCCUUAGCACUUGCUGUUCCCUCGGCUCUACACGCAUCUGGGCUUCUAAUCAUUCAGAUCUCAGCCUUAAACUCUAAACCCAAAGUGCCCUCCCUCAACCAGUCUGGCUAACACCAGCUGCUGCCCUCUCUCACCCCUGGGAGUCCAUACGUUUGACUCAGUCUUUUCCUUAUGUCAUUA